GAUGAACGCUGGCGGCGUGCCUAAUACAUGCAAGUCGAACGAAACUUCUUUAUCACCGAGUGCUUGCACUCACCGAUAAAGAGUUGAGUGGCGAACGGGUGAGUAACACGUGGGCAACCUGCCCAAAAGAGGGGGAUAACACUUGGAAACAGGUGCUAAUACCGCAUAACCAUAGUUACCGCAUGGUAACUAUGUAAAAGGUGUCUAUACUACCGCUUUUGGAUUGGCCCGCGGCGCAUUAGCUAGUUGGUAGGGUAAAGGCUUACCAAGGCAAUGAUGCGUAGCCGAAUUGAGAGGUUGAUCGGCCACAUUGGGACUGAGACACGGCCCAAACUCCUACGGGAGGCAGCAGUAGGGAAUCUUCCACAAUGGGCGAAAGCCUGAUGGAGAAACGCCGCGUGGGUGAAGAAGGUCUUCGGAUCGUAAAACCCUGUUGUUAGAGAAGAAAGUGCGUGAGAGUAACUGUUCACGUUUCGACGGUAUCUAACCAGAAAGCCACGGCUAACUACGUG
rnacentral:rRNA from 1 species